AAGGGUAAAAUCAAGAUACUGUUAAUGUAAAUGGAAUUUGUGCUGAAGCUAAAAAAAUCCAGUUAAAAACUAGGAUUAGAUACCCUACUAUUCUGGAUUAAAAAUAUAUUGCUAAGUUAGUAUUAGUUAGAUACUUAAAAAUUAAAAAAUUUGGCGGUGGUUUAAUCUCACCAGAGGAACUUGUUUCUUGAUCGAUAUACCACGAAAAAUCUUACUUAAGUUUGUAUACCAUCAUUAGCAGGCAAUUUUAAUAAAAUCAAUUGCUAAUUAUUAAGUUAAUUAUUAAAAUUAGAUCAUGGUGCAGCAUAUAGGUAAGUUGAAAUGAGUUACAAUAAUUUUUAUUAUAUGGAUCAGUAACUGUAAAGGAGGAUUUGGUUGUAUUUAAGUUUAAUAAGCUUACAGGACAUUAGUUCUAAACCAUGUACAUAUCGCCCGUCGCUUUC
rnacentral:rRNA from 1 species